AACGCGCGAACGGCGCGGACUGCGCGCUUCCUCGGCGGCGGAAAGGGUGACGGUGGCCGCUGAAGGACAAGUGAGGCAAGGAAUCAAACUAGGGGCCGGGCAAAGGGCGGAGCUAGGCCUGGGGGAUGUGGAGGAGAGGGAUCUGGAGGGACGGGGCCGAGUCUCCUUAGCAACUAGGAUUCAGUACACGGGUGGGGCCAGGUUUGAAGGCUGCAAAAUAAACCGAAGGGCGGGGUCAAAUCUCCUCGGCAACCGGGAUUGAGCGAGAGGGUGGGGCCCAGCCUGGUGGCUGCGGAGGAGGCCUGCGCUGGGCGGGGCCGAGUCUCCUUGGCAACUAGGAUUUGGUAGGGGGCGGAGCCAUUUUGGAGGCUGCGGGGGGGGGGCAAUGGGUGGGGCCUACGCGAGCCCCUCCUUUUUCUCCAAACCCCGAAGACCCCCCCCACCCCCGUCUUUCACUCUACUUCCUCAUCUGCCAGUCUCUCCCUCAUUGCGCCCUAAUGUCCCCACUUUCCUAGGAUUCUCCAGUCACACUUCUACCGCAGGACAUUUGCGUUGGCUGUGCCCCCCCCAUCCCCCACAUUCCCAAGUGGCUUUCUUACUCCUGUCUUUCAUGCCAGCUCUUUCCACCUGAUGAAGGGACUUUUGUUCGGUUUCUGGCCGGGCCCCUAACAGUGCCUGGUGCAAGCAACGUCCCAUAAACACCCAUGCAAUAAAUUCAGAUGGGCCACCCAUUCCCUCAGAACCUAACCUGCUGCUGGUCUCAGGGCUCACUGUGCAGCACCUCUUAGGUGCAGAGGGAGCAGGAACCCAAAUCCUUUCCUUUCCCAGAAUUAGCUGCAAAGGUUGCUCCAUUCCCCAGCGAGGGCCAGGAUCGACUCUGAGUGAUCUGAAAGCGGAACCAUCAGUCCCCACCCCACACACUCUGCCCUGGUGACUGCGAUGUCACCCUGCUGCUCUUCCCUGGGGACAGUCCUCGGCCUUGACCUCGAGCUGGCAGUGGGCUUGGGGCUACAGAGUUCUCACGACUCUUCCUCCUGUCCACAAUCCUGUCUCAGUGCAGGAAGCUUCAAUGCUGGCCAAGGCCCCUGUGCCACCUGUCUUGGUAGGUAGCUGACUCUAGAGUGGCAGAAAGACGGCUGUUAAGGCCCCUUGUCACUUUUGCUGCUUCCGCUGCCAUGAACUGUUUCACCUCUGCCGCCCCACCAUGGAGCCAGCCGAUUAUAGACAGAAAUCUCUACAAACUGUAAGCCAAAUAAACCCUUCCCCCUUUAACUUUGGGUGUGGGGUAUUUUGUCUCAGCAGAGAGAAAAAUACGUAGCACAUUCAGUAAACCAGGUGUGGUGGUUCACAACUAUUGUCCCAGCACUCUGAGAGG